rfam:Bacterium TMED161 isolate TMED161 42560, whole genome shotgun sequence.
CUGUGCUAGAUGGGGAGUUAGCGGUUCCUUGUAACCUGAAGUCCGCUCAUGCAGGAUUGAAUUCCGAUGGAUGGGUUUUGCUGAGUUUGAUAUUUAUUAUAAGCGGUGUUGACUCUUUUAGCUUUACGCAAUAGUAUAAACUUUAAACCCGUCAGGUCUGGAAAGAAGCAGCGGUAGAGUAUAUUUCUAUGUGCCGUAGAAUCCUGAAAGUGAGCUGGCUGUAAAAAAUAUUUUUCUAACAGAGAAUUCUACCAUCGGUGCGCAG